GCUCAGGAUGAACGCUAGCUACAGGCUUAACACAUGCAAGUCGAGGGGUAGCAGGGUAGCAAUACCGCUGACGACCGGCGCACGGGUGAGUAACACGUAUCCAACCUUCCCAUAACUCAGGGAUAGCCUUUCGAAAGAAAGAUUAAUACCUGAUAGUACUUAAGAAAGGCAUCUUUUUUAAGUUAAAGAUUUAUUGGUUAUGGAUGGGGAUGCGUUCCAUUAGAUAGUUGGUGAGGUAACGGCUCACCAAGUCUUCGAUGGAUAGGGGUUCUGAGAGGAAGGUCCCCCACAUUGGUACUGAGACACGGACCAAACUCCUACGGGAGGCAGCAGUGAGGAAUAUUGGUCAAUGGGCGAGAGCCUGAACCAGCCAAGUAGCGUGAAGGAUGACGG
rnacentral:rRNA from 1 species